UGGAUGGUUGGCCGAAGUGGUAAGGCACCCGCUUGCUAAGCGGAGGUCGACGUCAGUCGAGCAGGUUCAACUCCUGCACCAUCCGU
rnacentral:tRNA from 1 species